ensembl:lncRNA
AUGAACAAUCAAGGACCAACAAUUGAAAGAAUAAACCCUGCAUUCACUGACCAUCAGGAUGAACAGGAUCAUCUGGAGAAGUCAAGGAUGGAUCAGUCUGUGCCACCACCAUACUAUCCCAGCGCAGGAUACCAGAUCCCAAGGGCCAAUCUCAAUCCCAUCCCUUCUGGAUAUCCAAACCAACCGUACGGAGCUCCAGGAGGCCCUCAGGGCCAGUAUGUCCAUCCAGGAAUACCUGUGUAUCCCCAAGUAGCAUAUGUUGGUCAAACUGGGGUCACAGUUCAGCCCACUGUGGUUGUGACUCCGAUUGUAAUGGCUGCUCCGGAUUACUUUGGCUACUCCAUCUUUACCAUGCUGUGCUGCUGUUUACCUCUGGGCAUCGCUGCUGUCAUCUUCUCGUGCUUUACUCGAGAUGCUAACUUGGCUGGACAGCGAGAGUUAGCGAUGAGCAGGUCCAGAGUGGUGUUUAUCCUGAACAAUGUGGCUCUCGGUAUUGGCCUCACGAUCACUGCAGUGAUCAUUAUCAUCAUAUUUACAGUGGCGAUAAGGCAUUAACCAUGUCUUGAAUGUUGGGGGCGACCAACUUGUGUUGUGCACACACAGAAACAUUCAGCAGCGCAGAAACUUGUUGUCAACACUGCCCCAUGAAUAUAAUUAAUAAAAUAGCUUUGAUACUGAAUCGCUAUUUUAUA